rnacentral:rRNA from 1 species
CCCUUAGAUGUUCUGGGCCGCACGCGCGCUACACUGAUGCAUUCAACAAGCCUAGCCUUGACCGAGAGGUCCGGGUAAUCUUUGAAACUGCAUCGUGAUGGGGCUAGAUUAUUGCAAUUAUUAAUCUUCAACGAGGAAUGCCUAGUAAGCGUGAUUCAUCAAAUCGCGUUGAUUACGCCCCUGCCCUUUGUACACACCGCCCGUCGCUCCUACCGAUUGAAUGUGUUGGUGAGGAGCUCGGAUUGGCAGCAGUUGGUGGUUCGCCACCGGCUAUUGCUGAGAAGUCCUCCAAACCGCCCCAUUUAGAGGAAGGAGAAGUCGUANCA